CCUACGGGAGGCAGCAGUGAGGAAUAUUGGUCAAUGGGCGCGAGCCUGAACCAGCCAAGUCGCGUGAGGGAGGACGGCCCUACGGGUUGUAAACCUCUUUUGCCGGGGAGCAACGGGCGUCACGUGUGGCGCCACUGAGAGUACCCGUAGAAAAAGCAUCGCCUAACUCCGUGCCAGCAGCCGCGGUAAUACGGAGGAUGCGAGGGUUAUCCGGAUUUUUUGGGUUUAAGGGGUGCGUAGGCGGUUGGUAAAGUCAGUGGUAAAAUUGGGGGGCCAAACCCCUUCCCGCCAUUGAAACUGGCGCUCUUGAGUGGAAGAGAAGUAUGCGGAAUGCGUGGUGUAGCGGUGAAAUGCAUAGAUAUCACGCAGAACCCCGAUUGCGAAGGCAGCAUGCCGGCUUCCGACUGACGCUGAAGCACGAAAGCGUGGGGAUCGAACAGGAUUAGAUACCCCUGUAGUC
rnacentral:rRNA from 1 species